UACCAGCUCUCCGAGUAGUGUGGAUGUUUAUUGGGCCUAAAGCAUCCGUAGCUUGCUAAGCAAGUCCCCUGUUAAAUCCACCGAUUUAAUCGUUGGAUUGCGGGGGAUACUGUUUGGCUAGGGGACGGGAGAGGCCGACGGUAUUUCCGGGGUAGGGGUGAAAUCCUAUAAUCCCGGGAAGACCACCAGUGGAGAAGGCUGUCGGCUAGAACGCGCCCGACGGUGAGGGAUGAAAGCUGGGGGAGCGAACCGGAUUAGAUACCCGGGUAGUCCCAGCUGUAAACGAUGCAGGCUAGGUGUUUGGGCGGCCACGUGCCGCUCUAGUGCCGCAAGGAAGCUGUUAAGCCUGCCGCCUGGGGAGUACGGCCGCAAGGCUGAAACUUAAAGGAAUUGGCGGGGGAGCACCACAAGGGGUGAAGCUUGCGGUUU
rnacentral:rRNA from 1 species